UACAGAGGGGGCAAGCGUUGUUCGGAAUUACUGGGCGUAAAGCGCGCGUAGGCGGCGAUCCAUGUCAGGGGUGAAAUCCCGGGGCUCAACUCCGGAAUUGCCUUUGAAACGGGAUUGCUAGAGUCCGAGAGAGGAUGGCGGAAUUCCUAGUGUAGAGGUGAAAUUCGUAGAUAUUAGGAAGAACACCGGUGGCGAAGGCGGCCAUCUGGCUCGGUACUGACGCUCAGGCGCGAAAGCGUGGGGAGCAAACAGG
rnacentral:rRNA from 1 species